rnacentral:rRNA from 1 species
UACGGGGGGGGCAAGCGUUGUUCGGAAUUACUGGGCGUAAAGGGCUCGUAGGUGGCCAACUAAGUCAGACGUGAAAUCCCUCGGCUUAACCGGGGAACUGCGUCUGAUACUGGAUGGCUUGAGUUCGGGAGAGGGAUGCGGAAUUCCAGGUGUAGCGGUGAAAUGCGUAGAUAUCGGGAGGAACACCAGUGGCGAAGGCGACUUCCUGGCCUGUUCUUGACGCUGAGGCGCGAAAGCCAGGGGAGCAAACGGG